AGCGAACGCUGGCGGCAGGCCUAACACAUGCAAGUCGAGCGCCCCGCAAGGGGAGCGGCAGACGGGAGAGUAACACGUGGGAACGUACCCUUCAGUUCGGAACAACCCAGGGAAACUUGGGCUAAUACCGGAUACGUCCGUAAGGAGAAAGAUUUAUCGCUGAAGGAUCGGCCCGCGUCCGAUUAGCUAGUUGGUGAGGUAACGGCUCACCAAGGCGACGAUCGGUAGCUGGUCUGAGAGGAUGAUCAGCCUCACUGGGACUGAGACACGGCCCAGACUCCUACGGGAGGCAGCGGUGGGGAAUAUUGGACAAUGGGCGCAAGCCUGAUCCAGCCAUGCCGCGUGGAGGAUGAAGGCCCUAGGGUUGUAAAGUCCUUUCGGCGGGGAAGAUAAUGACGGUACCCGCAGAAGAAGCCCCGGCUAACUUCGUGCCAGCCGCCGCGGUAAUAC
rnacentral:rRNA from 1 species